GAUGAACGCUGGCGGCGUGCCUAAUGCAUGCAAGUCGAACGGAGAGUGUAGCAAUAUGCUCUUAGUGGCGAACGGGUGAGUAACGCGUUGGUGACCUGCCCCGAAGUGUGGGAUAACAGUUCGAAAGGAUUGCUAAUACCGCAUAUGACCUUUGAGAUUAGACGCUCGAAGAUUAAAGGACUUCGGUCCGCUACGGGAGGGGCCUGCGUCCCAUCAGCUAGUUGGUAGGGUAAUGGCUUACCAAGGCUAUGACGGGUAGGGGACCUGAGAGGGUGACCCCCCACAAUGGAACUGAAACACGGUCCAUACACCUACGGGUGGCUG
rnacentral:rRNA from 1 species